UACGGAGGGAGCUAGCGUUGUUCGGAAUUACUGGGCGUAAAGCGCGCGUAGGCGGCUUUGUAAGUUAGGUGAAAGCCCGGGGCUCAACCCCGGAAUUGCCUUUAAGACUGCAUCGCUUGAAUCCGGGAGAGGUGAGUGGAAUUCCGAGUGUAGAGGUGAAAUUCGUAGAUAUUCGGAAGAACACCAGUGGCGAAGGCGGCUCACUGGACCGGCAUUGACGCUGAGGUGCGAAAGCGUGGGGAGCAAACAGG
rnacentral:rRNA from 1 species